rnacentral:rRNA from 1 species
UACGGGGGGAGCAAGCGUUGUUCGGAUUUACUGGGCGUAAAGGGCGCGUAGGCGGUUAGCACAAGUCAGUUGUGAAAUCUCCGGGCUUAACUCGGAAAGGUCAACUGAUACUGUGCGACUAGAGUGCAGAAGGGGCAACUGGAAUUCCUGGUGUAGCAGUGAAAUGCGUAGAUAUCAGGAAGAACACCGAUGGCGAAGGCAGGUCUCUAGGCUGACACUGACGCUCAUGCACGAAAGCGUGGGGAGCAAACAGG